CAGCCGCCGCGGGAAAACAGAGGGUGCGAGCGUUAAUCGGAUUUACUGGGCGUAAAGCGUGCGUAGGCGGCUAAUUGAGUCGGAUGUGAAAUCCCCGAGCUUAACUUGGGAAUUGCAUUCGAUACUGGUUAGCUAGAGUGUGGGAGAGGAUGGUAGAAUUCCAGGUGUAGCGGUGAAAUGCGUAGAGAUCUGGAGGAAUACCGAUGGCGAAGGCAGCCAUCUGGCCUAACACUGACGCUGAGGUACGAAAGCAUGGGGAGCAAACAGGAUUAGAUACCCCUGUAGUCCCUGUCUCUUAUAU
rnacentral:rRNA from 1 species